AGAGUUUGAUCAUGGCUCAGGAUGAACGCUAGCGGCAGGCUUAAUACAUGCAAGUCGAGGGGCAACAGGGGUAGCAAUACCUGCUGGCGACCGGCAAACGGGUGCGCAACACGUACAGAACCUUCCUUUAAGCGGGGGAUAGCCCGGAGAAAUCCGGAUUAAUACCCCAUAGUAUUUUGGUGUGGCAUCACAUUAAAAUUAAAGAUUUAUCACUUAAAGAUGGCUGUGCGUCUGAUUAGGUAGUUGGUUGAGGUAACGGCUCACCAAGCCAACGAUCAGUAACUGGUGUGAGAGCACGACCAGUCACACGGGCACUGAGACACGGGCCCGACUCCUACGGGAGGCAGCAGUAAGGAAUAUUGGUCAAUGGACGCAAGUCUGAACCAGCCAUGCCGCGUGAAGGAUGAAGGUCCUCUGGAUUGUAAACUUCUUUUAUAUGGGAAGAAAUGCCUGCUUUAUAGCGGGUUUGACGGUACCAUAGGAAUAAGCACCGGCUAACUCCGUGCCAGCAGCCGCGGUAAUACGGAGGGUGCAAGCGUUAUCCGGAUUCACUGGGUUUAAAGGGUGCGUAGGUGGGAAUGUAAGUCAGUGGUGAAAUCUCCGUGCUUAACAUGGAAACUGCCAUUGAUACUAUGUUUCUUGAAUUUUCUGGAGGUUAGCGGAAUAUGUCUGUAGCGGUGAAAUGCUUAGAUAUGACAUAGAACACCAAUUGCGAAGGCAGCUAGCUACAGGGAUAUUGACACUGAGGCACGAAAGCGUGGGGAUCAAACAGGAUUAGAUACCCUAGUAGUCC
rnacentral:rRNA from 1 species